rnacentral:rRNA from 1 species
GAGGUACUGGAAGGUCCUCAGGCCGAAAGGGGCUCUGCCCGCCCGAGGAUGGGCCGGCGGCCGAUUAGGUAGUUGGUGGGGUAACGGCCCACCAAGCCGAAGAUCGGUACGGGCCAUGAGAGUGGGAGCCCGGAGAUGGACACUGAGACACGGGUCCAGGCCCUACGGGGCGCAGCAGGCGCGAAACCUCCGCAAUGCGGGCAACCGCGACGGGGGGACCCCCAGUGCCGUGGCAACGCCACGGCUUUUCCGGAGUGUAAAAAGCUCCGGGAAUAAGGGCUGGGCAAGGCCGGUGGCAGCCGCCGCGGUAAUACCGGCGGCCCGAGUGGUGGCCGCUAUUAUUGGGCCUAAAGCGUCCGUAGCCGGGCCCGUAAGUCCCUGGCGAAAUCCCACGGCUCAACCGUGGGGCUUGCUGGGGAUACUGCGGGCCUUGGGACCGGGAGAGGCCGGGGGUACCCCUGGGGUAGGGGUGAAAUCCUAUAAUCCCAGGGGGACCGCCAGUGGCGAAGGCGCCCGGCUGGAACGGGUCCGACGGUGAGGGACGAAGGCCAGGGGAGCGAACCGGAUUAGAUACCCGGGUAGUCCUGGCUGUAAAGGAUGCGGGCUAGGUGUCGGGCGAGCUUCGAGCUCGCCCGGUGCCGAAGGGAAGCCG